rnacentral:rRNA from 1 species
AGAUUAAGUUAUUAAGGGCGCACGGUGGAUGCCUUAGCACUAGAAGCCGAUGAAGGACGUUACUAACGACGAUAUGCUUUGGGGAGCUGUAAGUGAGCUUUGAUCCAGAGAUUUCCGAAUGGGGAAACCCAGCACGAGUUAUGUCAUGUUAUCGAUAUGUGAAUACAUAGCAUAUCAGAAGGCACACCCGGAGAACUGAAACAUCUUAGUACCCG